UACGAAGGGUGCAAGCGUUGCUCGGAAUCAUUGGGCGUAAAGCGCACGUAGGCGGCUUCGCAAGUCGGAUGUGAAAUCCCAUGGCUCAACCUUGGACGUGCAUUCGAAACUGCGAAGCUUGAGUAUGGAAGAGGGUCGCGGAAUUCCCGGUGUAGAGGUGAAAUUCGUAGAUAUCGGGGGGAACACCAGGGGCGAAGGCGGCGACCUGGGCCAAUACUGACGCUGAGGUGCGAAAGCGUGGGGAGCAAACAGG
rnacentral:rRNA from 1 species